CUCUCUCUCACGGGGUGCGCAGGGGGAGAGGUGGGCGGUGGCGCGAGCGGCGGCGGCGGGCGCGGCUGGGUGGCGAGCGGCGGCGGCGACGCCACCUCCUCACCACAGCCGCUCCACCCCUUCCCUUCCCCUUCUUCCUCCAGGUCCGGCGGUGACGGCGCGGAGGAGCCGCCGCGGGGGCGUUGUCCUCCGUGUCGCAGCCGGCAUUCGCGCACAACGCGCGCGUGGCGGCCACGACGGCGUUCCUGCUCGACCUCGGGGGCCUCCUGGUGUUCGUCGUGCUGCAUUGGCCAUGCUUGUGCGUGCUAUUGGGGGAUUGAUUGGUAUUGGUUUGGAACGAUUCGGGCGCCAUGAUCCGGAGGAGGAUUCAGUGAAUUUCCCUCGCGGUUGCUCCGACCAAAUUUUCAUGGCCACAUUUUUCUUUCGGUGGAUGGCUUUCGUGUCAUGGGGAGUUGCAGCGAAUGGAUGCGAUGUAGCCACGCGUGAUUCUUGCGAGGUCGAAGGGCAGAGUGAUGGAUUUAGUAAAAGAAGUGAGAGUUUUCCUAUCUGAUUAUCUCGUCCUCCAUAUGCUGUGCUAAUUCUGGUUAAAUGCAAAAGUUAUUCUGAAGACUAACAAGCCGGCGGCGAGAGGAGGAAGAAGGGGAGAGGCCGGCAGCUGGCCAAGGCGAGCUCCUCCUCGUCGUCGGUCGUCGUCCGUGGCCUCGUCGACGGUGUCGUGGGCCAGCGGCUCCACCGUCAUGGACUGGGUGAGCCCUGAGACACCGUCUCACGCCGCUGCCCACUGCCCGGCCCGUGCGCCGCCGUCUGCCGCUCCCUCGUCUCGCGCCGCCGCCUGCCCCUCCGUGCCGCGAAGGUGAGGUCGGAGCGGUCGCAGCCGCGGUCGACGGAGACCACCACCUUGGCACCGAGGUGCUUCACGAGGCGGACGGCCACGGCGUUGCCGAGAAGAAGAACGCCACGUCGGCGGCGAUGAGCGUAGCCCGGUCUCUGCGGCCACCGCGGCUGGCGUCGCGCAUGGCGACGAGCUCCUGCCGGUUCCCCUCCUCGUUUCGCGUCGUCGCCGCCGCACACCGCCGUGCCCGUGCGUGCCUGCGGCCACGCGACUGACGCGAGAGAGAGAUUGGGAAUAACCAAAUAAGUGAAGAGUAGGUAUGACAGGUGAGUCUCACCAUUUUUUUAAUGAAAAAUGCUGACUGGAUUGCCACGCGGACGCAAUGUAGAAGAAAACAGCUCUAAAUUGAGUUGAGGGGGGUAAUUCUCCUGGUACUAAAAGUUCAGGGUGAUCAAUAUCUGGUUUUCUAGUUCA